rnacentral:rRNA from 1 species
ACGGGAGGCAGCAGUGGGGAAUUUUGGACAAUGGGGGCAACCCUGAUCCAGCAAUGCCGCGUGAGUGAAGAAGGCCUUCGGGUUGUAAAGCUCUUUUGUCAGGGAAGAAACGGCUGUGGCUAAUAUCCACGGCUAAUGACGGUACCUGAAGAAUAAGCACCGGCUAACUACGUGCCAGCAGCCGCGGUAAUACGUAGGGCGCAAGCGUUAAUCGGAAUUACUGGGCGUAAAGCGUGCGCAGGCGGUUUUGUAAGUCAGACGUGAAAUCCCCGGGCUUAACCUGGGAAUCGCGUUGGAGACUGCAAGGCUGGAGUCUGGACAGAGGGGGGUAGAAUUCCCACGUGUAGCAGUGAAAUGCGUAGAGAUGUGGAGGAACACCGAUGGCGAAGGCAGCCCCUGGGUCAAGACAGACGCUACAUGCACGAAAGCGGGGGGAGCAAACAGGAUUAGAUACCGUGGUAGUCCACGCCCUACGCGAUGUCUACUAGUUGUCGGU